CUCUGAAGGCGAGGCGGGGAGCACGGUCCAAUCAGGAGCGCCGGGGCGGGGCCCUGCCAACUUUUUUCGGGGAAGGAGACGGCUGCACGCCCGCGGUCUCUUGUUGCUGUGCUAACGACCGUUGGAAUCCUCUUUCCGGCUCUUGGAACGCUCGGCUCUGAGAGGCUCCAGGUUUCUCCGCCAGAGCUCCUGUCGCUCUGUCACUUGCGCUGUGUUCCUCUCUAGUCACAAGAGCCUUGGGGAAGACAGUUGGAAGCUCAGACAUGGAUUUCGCUCUUCUUGCGCAGGCUGGAGUACAGUGGCUCGAUCUCGGCCCACUGCCGCCUCUGCUUCCUGGGUUCAAGCAAUUCUUCUGCCUCGGCCUCCUGAGUAGCUGUGGUUACAGGACUCAGUGGCCUUUGAGGAUGUGGCUGUGAACUUCACCCCAGAUGAGUGGGCUUUGCUGGAUCCUUCCCAAAAGAAUCUCUACCGAGAAGUGAUGCAAGAAACCUUGAGGAACCUGGCCUCUAUAGGCCUGUGUAUCUGCGCCUGUAUUUUAGGGAAGAAAUGGAAAGACCAGAACAUUGAAAAUGAGUACAAAAAUCCCAGGAGCAACCUAAGAGGUCUUAUGGAAGAGAGACUCUUUGAAAGUGAAGGUCAUCAGCAUGGAGAAAUUUUGACCCAGGUUCUGGAUGACAUGCUGAAGAAGAAAACUGGAGUAGAAUCAUGUGAAAGGAAUGUGUGUGAGGUCAGCAUGGGUCAUUUAUCCCUUAAUAAGCACACCAGAGCUGACACUGGACACAAGCCAUAUGAGUAUCAGGAAUAUGGACAGACGCCAUAUAAAUGUACAUACUGUAAGAAAGCCUUCAGCUGUCUCCCCUACUUUCACAGAUAUGUAAUUGCACACACUGGAGAAAAACCCUAUGAAUGUAAGGAUUCUGGGAAGGCAUUCAGUUUUUCCAUUUCUUUUCAUAGUCAUAAAAGAGCUCACUCUGGAGGGAACCCCUAUGAAUGUAAACAAUCUGGAAAACCCUUUGGAUGCGCCUUAGAACUUCAAAUGCAUGCAAGGACUCACAGUGUAGAGAAACCUUACAAAUGUAAGAAAUGUGAAAAAGCAUUUAAUAACUUAUCUUCCUUUCAAAUACAUGAAAGAAUGCACAGAGGAGGGAAGUAUCAUGCCUGUAAGGGUUCUGGGAAGACAUACCGUUUUUCUGGUUUCUAUCAUAGACAUAAAAUGCCUCAUGCUGGCGGGAAGUUUUAUGGAUGUAAGAAAUGUGGGAAAGCCUUUAUUAGUUUCUGUGCCUUUCGAUACAUCAAAGGACUCACACUAAAGAGAAACCCUAUGCAUGUAAACAAUGUGGGAAAGCCUAUAUUUCUUACACUUCUUUUCAAUAUCAUCAGUUGAAUCACACUGGAGCGAAACGCUAUAAGUGUAAGCAGUGUGGCAAAGGCUUCAAUUUGCCCAAUUCCAUUCAAUAUCAUGAAAUGACUCACACUGGGGAGAAACCCCAUGAAUGUAAGCAAUGUGGGAAAACUUUCAGAUGUGCCUCAAGCCUCCGAAUACAUGGAAGGACUCACACUGGGGAGAAACCCUAUGAAUGUAAACAGUGUAGUAAAGUCUCUCGUUAUUGGAGCGGCCUUCGGGUACAUGAAGUAACUCAUAUUGGAAAAAAGCUUUAUGAAUGUAAGGAAUGUGGGAAAUCAUACUAUAGUUCUGGUUCCUUUCUAAAUCAUAAAAGGAUCCACACCAGGGAGAAGUCUUAUGAAUGCAAGGAAUGUGGGAAAGCAUUUGGUAAUCCCAUAUCCUUUCAAAAACAUGAAGGGAGUCACAGAAAAUGGAAGCCUUAUGAAUGUAAGGAAUGUGGGAAGGUAUUCAGUUUUUCCAGUUCCCUUCGGAGACAUGAAAGGACACACACUGAAAAACUCUGUGAAUGUAAACAGCAUGGGAAAGGAUUUUUUCAUAGAAGCUGCCCUAGACACAUGAAGAUACACACUGGAGAGAUACUUCAUAAACGUAAGAUACGUGGAAAAGUCUUUCAUUCUCCUAGUUCAUUUCAAACACGUGAAAGAUCUCACACUAGAGAAAAACGCUAUAAAUGCAAGCAAUGUGGAAAACCCUUCAUUUAUUUCAAUGCCUUUCAACGUCAUCAAAGGAGCCACACUGGAGAGAACCCCUAUGAGUGUAAGCAAUGUGGGACAGCCUGUAUUUCUUCCACUGCUUUUCAGUGUCAUGAAUUGAGUCACACUGGAGCAAAACGCUAUAAGUGUAAGCAGUGUGGCAAAGGCUUCAAUUUGCCCAGUUCCAUUCGAUAUCAUGAAAUGACUCACACUGGAGAGAAACCCUAUGAAUGUAAGCAAUGUGGGAGAGCUUUCAGAUCUGCCUCACACCUACGAACACAUGAAAGGACUCACACUGGGGAGAAACCCUAUGAAUGUAAACAGUGUGGUAAAGUCUAUCGUUACUGGAGUGGCCUUCGAAUACAUGGACUAACUCAUAUUGGAAAAAAGCCUUAUGAAUUUAAUGACCGUGGGAAAUCAUUCUAUAGUUCCAAUUUCUUUCUAAAUCAUAAAAGGGUCCACACUAGAGUGAAGACAUAUGAAUGCAAGGAAUGUGGGAAAGCAUUUGAUAAUCCUACAUCCUUUCAAAAACAUGAAGGGAGUCACAGAAAAGGGAAGUCUUAUGAAUGUAAGGAAUGUGGGAAGGUAUUCAGUUUUUCCCGUUCCUUUCGUAGACAUGAAAGGGCACACGCUGGCGAAAAGCCCUGUGAAUAAACAAUGUGGGAAAGGAUUUUUCAUAUCUUCUGUGGAGCUUUGAAUGCAUGAAAAGACAGACUACAGAGAAAUGCUAAAUGUAAGGCGUGUAUAAAAGCAUUUAGUAAUUUCUCUUCCUUGCUUAUACAUGGAAGGAUGCACACUGGAGAGAAGCCAUAUGAAUGUAAGAAUUGUGGGAAAGCCUGCACAUCUGCCAAGAGCCUUCAAAAUCAUGGAAGGACACACACCGGAGAGAAACCAUGUGAAUGCAAGCAAUGUGGCAAAGCUUUCAUUUGUUCCAGUUCCUGUCAGAGACAUGAAGAGACACAUUCUGUUAAUAUGCAUUCAGUUAUCCUAAUUCCUUUGAAACACAGAAAAAGAGUAGGGAAAGGACCUCUGAGAUAACUGUUUUCUGAGUUGAGAAGAGCUACUUGUGAAUGGACAAUUAAAUCUAGAUGUAUUUAGAUAGUUCUGAUACAAUUCAUCUGUAGCCAAUCUUUUUUGAAAUUUUCUUAUUUUUUAGACGGAGUCUUGCUCUGUCGCCCAGACUGGAGUGCAGUGGCACGAUCUUGGCUCACUGCAACCUCCGCCUCCUGGGUUUAAGCAAUUCUGCCUCAGCCUCCCAAGUAGCUGGGAUUACAGGUAACCGCCAUCACGCCUGGCUAAUUUUAGAGAUGGAGUUUCACCAUGUUGGCCAGGCUGGUCUCAAACUCCUGACCUCAAGUGAUCCACCCACCUCGGCCUCCCAAAGUGCUGGGAUUACAGGCAUGAGCCACUGCGCCCUGCCACCUAUAGCCAAUCUUAAUGAGAUUUCAUAGGCACAGACAAGGAAGGUUAUCAGUCACAUUAAUUAGAGGCACAACACAGGGAGAGCAGUGUGUGGCCACAUGCUUCAGCCCAUUUUUUCUGAUUCUCUUGCUUGCAAAUUAAGAGUAUUCUCCAAAUCACUUGACUUUCCUUUUCUCAGAGUUAUAGUUCUCCAGAGAUGUCGCCAGAUGAUUCACAUUAAAGGUGCAUUUCCAAUUGACUUUUUUAUUUCAGAUAUUAGUAAAUGAUUACCAGAGAACUAAUUCAAACUGUUAUGGUUGGAAAUACUCUGAUGCUCAACUCCCUAAUCUAUAGAGUGAGUUAAGGUCUAUACUCUUUUGCAAGCAUUGUUCUAGUGGCAGUGACCCUGUUCAUGAUUCAGCCUGACAUUUACUAUGCUGCCCUGAAAACCAACUAGAUGGGAGCUUGUUUCUCUCUGCAUUGUGUAGUGAGUGGUGUCACCCAGGACUUUCACGUGAGAAAAAGCACCUUGCUCUUAA